rnacentral:rRNA from 1 species
UACGAAGGGGGCUAGCGUUGUUCGGAAUUACUGGGCGUAAAGCGCACGUAGGCGGAUUGCUAAGUCAGGGGUGAAAUCCCGGGGCUCAACCUCGGAACUGCCUUUGAUACUGACAAUCUCGAGUCCGGAAGAGGUGGGUGGAAUUCCUAGUGUAGAGGUGAAAUUCGUAGAUAUUAGGAAGAACACCAGUGGCGAAGGCGGCCCACUGGUCCGGUACUGACGCUGAGGAGCGAAAGCAUGGGGAGCGAACAGG